rnacentral:rRNA from 1 species
UACGUAGGGGGCUAGCGUUGUCCGGAAUCAUUGGGCGUAAAGCGCGUGUAGGCGGCCCGAUAAGUCCGCUGUGAAAGUCCAGGGCUCAACCCUGGGAUGCCGGUGGAUACUGUCGGGCUCGAGUCCGGAAGAGGCGAGUGGAAUUCCUGGUGUAGCGGUGAAAUGCGUAGAUAUCUGGAGGAACACCGGUGGCGAAGGCGGCAUCCUGGACCGGCAUUGACGCUGAGGCGCGAAAGCUAGGGGAGCAAACGGG